UACGUAGGGGGCUAGCGUUGUCCGGAAUCACUGGGCGUAAAGGGUGCGUAGGCCGCACGGUAAGUCAGAGGUGAAAUCCCGGAGCUCAACUCCGGAAUGGCCUCCGAUACUGCCGUGCUCGAGGACUGGAGAGGAGUCUGGAAUUCACAGUGGAGCAGUGAAAUGCGUAGAUAUUGUGAGGAACACUAGUGGCGAAGGCGAGACUCUGGACAGUUCCUGACGCUGAGGCACGAAGGCCAGGGGAGCAAACGGG
rnacentral:rRNA from 1 species